rnacentral:tRNA from 4 species
GGAGGCGUGUCCGAGUGGUUUAAGGAGAUAGUCUCGAAAACUAUUGGGCCGAAAGGCUCACAGAGGUUCAAAUCCUCUCGCCUCCG